UACGGAUUUCAAAAUCAGCCAGCCUGGAAGU
rnacentral:piRNA from 1 species